rnacentral:rRNA from 1 species
GACACGUGAAAUCCUGUCUGAAUAUGGGGGGACCAUCCUCCAAGGCUAAAUACUCCUGAUUGACCGAUAGUGAACCAGUACUGUGAAGGAAAGGCGAAAAGAACCCCGGUGAGGGGAGUGAAAUAGAACCUGAAACCUUGUACGUACAAGCAGUGGGAGCCCUUUAAGGGUGACUGCGUACCUUUUGUAUAAUGGGUCAGCGACUUAUAUUUUGUAGCAAGGUUAACUGAAUAAGGGAGCCGAAGGGAAACCGAGUCUUAACUGGGCGUUGAGUUGCAAGGUAUAGACCCGAAACCCGGUGAUCUAGCCAUGGGCAGGUUGAAGGUUGGGUAACACUAACUGGAGGACCGAACCGACUAAUGUUGAAAAAUUAGCGGAUGACUUGUGGCUGGGGGUGAAAGGCCAAUCAAACCGGGAGAUAGCUGGUUCUCCCCGAAAUCUAUUUAGGUAGAGCCUUGAGCGGACACCUUCGGGGGUAGAGCACUGUUUCGGCUAGGGGUCCAUCCCGGAUUACCAACCCGAUGCAAACUACGAAUACCGAAGAGUGAUACUCAGGAGACACACGGCGGGUGCUAACGUCCGUCGUGGAGAGGGAAACAACCCAGACCGCCAGCUAAGGUCCCAAAGUCUAUAUUAAGUGGGAAACGAAGUGGGAAGGCUUAGACAGCUAGGAUGUUGGCUUAGAAGCAGCCACCAUUUAAAGAAAGCGUAAUAGCUCACUAGUCGAGUCGGCCUGCGCGGAAGAUGUAACGGGGCUCAAAUAUAGCACCGAAGCUGCGGCAUCAGACGAAAGUCUGUUGGGUAGGGGAGCGUUCUGUAAGCGGAUGAAGGUGAAUCGAGAGGUUUGCUGGACGUAUCAGAAGUGCGAAUGCUGACAUAAGUAACGAUAAAACGGGUGAAAAACCCGUUCGCCGGAAGACCAAGGGUUCCUGUCCAACGUUAAUCGGGGCAGGGUGAGUCGGCCCCUAAGGCGAGGCUGAAAAGCGUAGUCGAUGGGAAACGGGUUAAUAUUCCCGUACUUGGAUAAAUUGCGAUGUGGGGACGGAGAAGGUUAGGUUAGCAGCCUGUUGGAUGGCUGUUUAAGGCGGUAGGUGGAGUGCUUAGGCAAAUCCGGGCACUCUUAACACCGAGAACUGAUGACGAGGUGCUAAUGCACUGAAGUAACUGAUACCACGCUUCCAGGAAAAGCCACUAAGCUUCAGGUUUAUCUAAACCGUACUAUAAACCGACACAGGUGGUCAGGUAGAGAAUACUCAGGCGCUUGAGAGAACUCGGGUGAAGGAACUAGGCAAAAUAGCACCGUAACUUCGGGAGAAGGUGCGCCGGCGUAGAUUGUAACCCCUUGCGGGUGAAGGUUGAACCGGUCGAAGAUACCAGCUGGCUGCAACUGUUUAUUAAAAACACAGCACUCUGCAAACACGAAAGUGGACGUAUAGGGUGUGACGCCUGCCCGGUGCUGGAAGGUUAAUUGAAGAUGUGAGAGCAUCGGAUCGAAGCCCCAGUAAACGGCGGCCGUAACUAUAACGGUCCUAAGGUAGCGAAAUUCCUUGUCGGGUAAGUUCCGACCUGCACGAAUGGCAUAAUGAUGGCCAGGCUGUCUCCACCCGAGACUCAGUGAAAUUGAAAUCGCCGUGAAGAUGCGGUGUACCCGCGGCUAGACGGAAAGACCCCGUGAACCUUUACUAUAGCUUGACACUGAACAUUGAAUUUUGAUGUGUAGGAUAGGUGGGAGCCUUUGAAGCAGUCACGCCAGUGAUUGUGGAGGCGUCCUUGAAAUACCACCCUUUAACGUUUGAUGUUCUAACGAAGAUUACGAAACGUGGUCUCGGACAGUGUCUGGUGGGUAGUUUGACUGGGGCGGUCUCCUCCCAAAGAGUAACGGAGGAGCACGAAGGUUUGCUAAUGACGGUCGGACAUCGUCAGGUUAGUGCAAUGGUAUAAGCAAGCUUAACUGCGAGACAGACAAGUCGAGCAGGUACGAAAGUAGGUCAUAGUGAUCCGGUGGUUCUGAAUGGAAGGGCCAUCGCUCAACGGAUAAAAGGUACUCCGGGGAUAACAGGCUGAUACCGCCCAAGAGUUCAUAUCGACGGCGGUGUUUGGCACCUCGAUGUCGGCUCAUCACAUCCUGGGGCUGAAGUAGGUCCCAAGG